CCUACGUGAUGCAGCAGUGAGGAAUAUUGGUCAAUGGGCGCGAGCCUGAACCAGCCAAGUAGCGUGAAGGAUGACUGCCCUACGGGUUGUAAACUUCUUUUAUAAAGGAAUAAAGUGAGGCACGUGUGCCUUUUUGUAUGUACUUUAUGAAUAAGGAUCGGCUAACUCCGUGCCAGCAGCCGCGGUAAUACGGAGGAUCCGAGCGUUAUCCGGAUUUAUUGGGUUUAAAGGGAGCGUAGAUGGGUUGUUAAGUCAGUUGUGAAAGUUUGCGGCUCAACCGUAAAAUUGCAAUUGAUACUGGCAGUCUUGAGUACAGUUGAGGUAGGCGGAAUUCGUGGUGUAGCGGUGAAAUGCUUAGAUAUCACGAAGAACUCCGAUUGCGAAGGCAGCUUACUAAACUGCCACUGACAUUGAUGCUCGAAAGUGUGGGUAUCAAACAGGAUUAGAUACCCUUGUAGUC
rnacentral:rRNA from 1 species